rnacentral:rRNA from 1 species
CACGUAGGGUGCGAGCGUUGUCCGGAUUUAUUGGGCGUAAAGAGCGUGUAGGCGGCUUUACAGGUCCGUUGUGAAAACUCGAGGCUCAACCUCGAGACGCCGGUGGAAACCGUAAGGCUAGAGUCCGGAAGAGGAGAGUGGAAUUCCUGGUGUAGCGGUGAAAUGCGCAGAUAUCAGGAGGAACACCCGUGGCGAAAGCGGCUCUCUGGGACGGUACUGACGCUGAGACGCGAAAGCGUGGGGAGCAAACAGG